UUAGAAACUUGGGGCAGCUUA
rnacentral:piRNA from 1 species